rnacentral:lncRNA from 1 species
CUUCGGUCUCUGAUAAAAAUAUUGUGAGAGCAAUUCUCAAGACCAGUCUGUCAAAUAUAAGUCAAAGUGACCCUUUCAAUGAUGUUUUGUAAGUGUACUGGGAACCUAAACCCACUCCUGGUCUCUUUGGACAAAGCACAGAAACUAUAUUUAAACUGUAAAGGGAGAAGUUAGAAAAACAGCAUGAACAUAGACUCACCAGCAUAUUUACUCCAGAUUUAUACCAAGCACCUUUCUGUUUUUUCUUGUUGCAGCCAUUACACCAGGGGUCGUGCUGAGGCCAGUCUGCCAAGCACAGAGGUGCUGGGAAGGCAACAGCAGUCUGACAUUGCCAAACCCCUCCAUGUGUGCUGGUGGAAUCUUUUGGAAGCGAAGGUUGUGUCUGCAAAUCCAUGUCACAGUCAGCACUACGCAUAGAAUCAUAGAAUAUCCCAAGUUGGAAGGGACUUACAAGGACCAUCAAGACCAAUCUCUAGCUCCACAUAGGACCCCCCAAAAUUCAAAUCCUAUGCCUGAGAGCACUGUCUAGAUGCUUCUUGAACUCCGGCGUGUUGGAGCUGUGAUAAUUACCGUGGGGAGCUUGUUUUAGUGCCUGAUCACCCUCUGGUGAAGAAUCUUUUCUUGAUAUCCAACCUUGCACUCACUUUCAUGCUGCUCCUUCAUAGCUACAUGCCAAUAAAGAGAGUAUAAAUUGUCCA